rnacentral:rRNA from 1 species
AGUGAACGCUGGCGGCAGGCCUAACACAUGCAAGUCGAGCGGCAGCGCGGGGGCAACCCUGGCGGCGAGCGGCGGACGGGUGAGGAAUGCAUCGGAAUCUACCUCGUUGUGGGGGGAUAACCUCGGGAAACCGGGACUAAUACCGCAUACGACCUACGGGUGAAAGUGGGGGACCUUCGGGCCUCACGCGAUGAGAUGAGCCGAUGCCGGAUUAGCUAGUUGGCGGGGUAAAGGCCCACCAAGGCGACGAUGCGUAGCCGACCUGAGAGGGUGAUCGGCCACACUGGGACUGAGACACGGUCCAGACUCCUACGGGAGGCAGCAGUGGGGAAUCUUGGACAAUGGACGAAAGUCUGAUCCAGCAAUUCUGCGUGCGGGAUGAAGGUCUAUGGAUUGUAAACCGCUUUUCUGAAGGAAGACGAAUGACGGUACUUCAGGAAUAAGCGACGGCUAACUUCGUGCCAGCAGCCGCGGUAAUGUACAGUGU